rnacentral:rRNA from 1 species
GUGGGGAAUAUUGGACAAUGGGCGAAAGCCUGAUCCAGCCAUGCCGCGUGUGUGAAGAAGGUCUUCGGAUUGUAAAGCACUUUAAGUUGGGAGGAAGGGCAGUAAGUUAAUACCUUGCUGUUUUGACGUUACCGACAGAAUAAGCACCGGCUAACUUCGUGCCAGCAGCCGCGGUAAUACGAAGGGUGCAAGCGUUAAUCGGAAUUACUGGGCGUAAAGCGCGCGUAGGUGGUUUUGUAAGUUGGAGGUGAAAUCCCCGGGCUCAACCUGGGAACUGCCUCCAAAACUGCAUGACUAGAGUACGGUAGAGGAUAGUGGAAUUUCCUGUGUAGCGGUGAAAUGCGUAGAUAUAGGAAGGAACACCAGUGGCGAAGGCGACUACCUGGACUGAUACUGACACUGAGGUGCGAAAGCGUGGGGAGCAAACAGGAUUAGAAACCCGAGUAGUCC